rnacentral:misc_RNA from 1 species
GAAAUGUGUAGAACUGCAUUAACAUUUAAGAUUACUGUCAAGGAAAUGUCAAGAAAAGGUGUCAUCCUACUAAUAAAUUACACUGAAAAUAAACUAUGAGAAAACGUAAUUCACAAAAGUGUAACAGCACAAUCCCUAAGAACACAUAAUCAGAGCCAACACUGUUUACUCAUACACUCUUUUAGGAAGCCCUCUUAUCUAAUUUUAUAUUUCCCAGGAUCUUAUAGAUAAAUAAUUUGCAAAAAGCAAAAGCUUUCUUCUCUUUCACAUUUCAAAAAAUUAAUUGGAAUAUAAGCAUAUAUGAAGAGACAGCUCCCUACUUUAGCUAUACAUA